CAUGUAGGCGGUCUGCUAAGUUCGGGGUGACAGUCACCAGCUUAACUGGUGAAGUGUUUCGAAAACUGGCUGACUUGAGAACGAGAGAGGGACAUGGAAUUCCGGGUGGAGCAGUGAAAUGCGUAGAGAUCCGGAGGAACACCAAAGGCGAAGGCAGUGUCCUGGCUCGUUUCUGACGCUGAGGUGCGAAAGCCAGGGGAGCGAACGGGAUUAGAUACCCCGGUAGUCCUGGCCGUAAACGAUGACCACUAGGCGUGGGAGGGAUCGACCCUUCCGUGCCGUAGUCAACACAUUAAGUGGUCCGCCUGGGGAGUACGGUCGCAAGACUAAA
rnacentral:rRNA from 1 species